GUGCUGCUGGCAUCUGAGGGAGAGACAGCCGAGACAGUGAAGUAAGAAAUGUUGGCCAUUGCUCGAACAUGGAGUAUCUUUAAGGUCAGGCAGCUCAGAUGUGAUGAAGCCUUAGAUAGAAGCUGUGGAGGGCUGGAUGGGGUGGGAGAGCAAGGAGUGACGAUAGGUCCAAAAGACUGCCUUUUCCUGAUGGAACCACUGGAGACCCCGAGGAGCCUGGAACUGUGCCUGGCAGAGGAGGCUGGACUCACCUGGAGACCGCGUUCUCAGAGUGCCUGGCUGACCAUUAAAGACUCAACCGAAGGGCUGAAUGGCUGAUGGCUCGGGGGUUAGGCACUUGCUGCUCUUUGGAGGACAGGAAGGACGGCUUAUAACCACUCAACUCCAGUUCCAGGGAAUCUGAUGGCCUCUUCUGACCCCCUCCCCCCG
rnacentral:lncRNA from 1 species